CGGGACCCGGCGGCCAGGCCCGGCUGGUGCUUCUCUGGGCGCCGCUGAAAGCCCAGCUCCGCAGGAGCUACAGGCGUGAGACCCACCGGGACCCGCGAGCGGGAUCAGGGCUGGGGGAUUAGCAGAGCCGCUUGCGAGGCUGACCCUCUCCAGGAUGCCCCAUGUAAACCUGGAUGUCAGUUUCUGACGCUUUAGCUUAAACCCAAAAGCCAAUCUGAGCGAACUCUUGCUUCCCUCGCCUGCCGGGCUGAACCCAAAGGCGCAUUAGCCCAGUGCGGCUGCUUCAUUCUUGAGCUAAGACCGCCGGCGGCGUCUGCGCCUCCGCGAGUCCGCUGUCAGGUCCAGCUGGUGUAGAGAGAGUUGAAAUCUCACUUUGGGCCGGGCGCGGUGGCUCACGUCUGUAAUCCUAGAACUUUUGGGAGGUCGAGGCAGGCGGAUCACUUGAAGUCAGGAGUUCGAGACCAGGCUGGCUAACAUAAUGAAACCCCUGUCUCUACUAAAAAUACAAAAAUUGAUCGGGCAUGGUGGCGCGCGCCUGUAAUCCCAGCUACUCAGGAGGCUGAGGCGGGAGAAUCACUUGAACCUGAGAGGCAGAGAUUGCAGUGAGCUGAGAUCAUGCCACUGCACUCCAGCCUGGGCAACAGAGUGAGACUCCGUCUCAAAAAAAAAAAAAAAAAACCACGAAAAAAGAAAUAUGAUUGGACCAGAAGGCCAAUAACCUGAGUGGGGAAACCCAGCAAGUCCUGUCCGUGUAGAUUCUUCUUGACCUUUCUCUGCAGCAUUCCUUCCUUCUGAGUACGGGGCAGGACUCUCUCUGGGAUGGAGGGGUCUUAGGACCUGCAAGCAAACAAGAGGCAGUAGUAGAAGCCAUGAGUCUGAUAAGUUUGCUGAAGGAGAGAGUGUGCUAUGAGGACGGAUCGUUGACAAGACCCUGGAGGACACAAGGACCUAAGAGCCCCUAAGAGGAGACAGAGAAGGUGCUGUCCCACAAAGUGCAAGAUGUCCCAGGAGAGAGGUGUCCAGGGGAUGACUGUGCGGGGGAAGCUCCGAAGUGGACAAGUCAACGAGCACCGGAAGGUGUCCCAGGGAUCUGGCAAUCAAGAGGCCAUCAGUGAGCCAGGCAGG
rnacentral:lncRNA from 10 species